AGGAAUAUUGGUCAAUGGGCGCAGGCCUGAACCAGCCAAGUAGCGUGAAGGAUGACUGCCCUAUGGGUUGUAAACUUCUUUUAUAAAGGAAUAAAGUCGGGUAUGUAUACCCGUUUGCAUGUACUUUAUGAAUAAGGAUCGGCUAACUCCGUGCCAGCAGCCGCGGUAAUACGGAGGAUCCGAGCGUUAUCCGGAUUUAUUGGGUUUAAAGGGAGCGUAGAUGGAUGUUUAAGUCAGUUGUGAAAGUUUGCGGCUCAACCGUAAAAUUGCAGUUGAUACUGGGUAUCUUGAGUGCAGUUGAGGCAGGCGGAAUUCGUGGUGUAGCGGUGAAAUGCUUAGAUAUCACGAAGAACUCCGAUUGCGAAGGCAGCCUGCUAAGCUGCAACUGACAUUGAGGCUCGAAAGUGUGGGUAUCAAACAGGAUUAGAUACCCUGGUAGUCCACACGGUAAACGAUGAAUACUCGCUGUUUGCGAUAUACUGCAAGCGGCCAAGCGAAAGCGUUAAGUAUUCCACCUGGGGAGUACGCCGGCAACGGUGAAACUCAAAGGAAUUGACGGGGGCCCGCACAAGCGGAGGAACAUGUGGUUUAAUUCGAUGAUACGCGAGGAACCUUACCCGGGCUUAAAUUGCAGAUGAAUUACGGUGAAAGCCGUAAGCCGCAAGGCAUCUGUGAAGGUGCUGCAUGGUUGUCGUCAGCUCGUGCCGUGAGGUGUCGGCUUAAGUGCCAUAACGAGCGCAACCCUUGUUGUCAGUUACUAACAGGUUCCGCUGAGGACUCUGACAAGACUGCCAUCGUAAGAUGUGAGGAAGGUGGGGAUGACGUCAAAUCAGCACGGCCCUUACGUCCGGGGCUACACACGUGUUACAAUGGGGGGUACAGAGGGCCGCUACCACGCGAGUGGAUGCCAAUCCCCAAAACCUCUCUCAGUUCGGACUGGAGUCUGCAACCCGACUCCACGAAGCUGGAUUCGCUAGUAAUCGCGCAUCAGCCACGGCGCGGUGAAUACGUUCCCG
rnacentral:rRNA from 1 species